UAGGGAAUCUUGGACAAUGGGCGCAAGCCUGAUCCAGCCAUGCCGCGUGGGCGAGGAAGGUCUUCGGAUCGUAAAGCCCUUUUCUUGGGGAAGAACCGCCUUUUGAGGAAAUGCUUAAGGUCUGACGGUACCCAAGGAAUAAGCAACGGCUAACUCCGUGCCAGCAGCCGCGGUAAUACGGAGGUUGCAAGCGUUGUUCGGAAUGACUGGGCGUAAAGGGAGCGCAGGCGGCUUGUUAAGUCUGGAGUGAAAGCCCGGGGCUCAACCCCGGCGGGUCUUCGGAUACUGGCAAGCUUGAGUAUGGAAGAGGAGAGCGGAAUUCCAGGUGUAGCGGUGAAAUGCGUAGAUAUCUGGAGGAACACCGGUGGCGAAAGCGGCUCUCUGGUCCAAUACUGACGCUCAUGCUCGAAAGCGUGGGGAGCAAACGGG
rnacentral:rRNA from 1 species